GUUCUUUGAGGUAUAAAGUGAUGGGUAUUCAAGGUUACAAUAACAAUGUGAAUGCGAAAGGCCCUUGGCCCGACUCGCAUUUGUGAAUUCUCGACUUUGCUAGCAGUACCAAAAGACCCUUGGGGCCCAACAGCACAAAAGCCAUUGAAAGUCCUUUUACAUGGAAUUAGGUCAUAUAAGACCCAACAACAUGUAAGCGAGUUUCCUUCGGGCCUAAAGAUCAUGUCAUUGGGCUAACUAGGCCCAACAAGCACGAUUUGAAACUUUCGGGCCCAAAGAUGGUGUAUCGACGUCUGGUGAAUUCCCGAGCGUGUAUUGACUUCCCGUAAUUUCAGCGUGUGUAUUGUAGUAUCGUCGUGUAUAAAUUUUUGAUUCAUUAUUGAUUCGAGACCGAAUCAAUUCAUUUGGUAACGAUUUUUGGUGUUGAAGGUGUAUUAUGUUUCGUCAGUAGUCGUGGUACUAGUAUUUCAUCAUGACGGAUUUAUUGUUUAAAACAUUAAAAUUUGACUUUUUGCAGCCCCUUUCUUUUGGAUAAAUUUACACUUUUGACCCUUUGUAUAAAAGAAUUUCCAUUUUAGUCCUUAAACCAUUUUUCUUGACACUUUAGUAUCAAAACUUGUUGAAAGGUAUUUUUCAGCUCAAAUUUAUUUGAAAAACAGUUUUAGUCCCUCAGAAUGAAGUUUUCUCGGCUGAAACCUCUAUUUUCGCAAAUUUUACACUUUUGGCCCAAAAUAGAAAAUUUUUGCAUCUUUGGUCCCUUUUAAAUAUGAAAAGUAUUUUUAACCCUUGAAAUGGACUUGGAGCACUAGUAGUCCCCUGUUUUACAGAAAAGUACAGUUUCAGCCCCUCUAAUUUGAAAAUCUCGCAAUUUGGGCUUUAUUGGGCCGAAAAAUUCAUUUUUGGCCCAUUAUGCUUAAAAAUUCACAUUUUAAUCCUUCAAAAGAGUAAAUUUCCAGAAAAUACAUUUUUGAAACUGUUUUGACUCAUCUCAACCAUCAGAAUUUGCAUUUUGUCAUUUUGGGCCCUUUGAAUUUAUAUUUUCAACAUUUUGAGCCCAAAAAUGGGUUUUUAGCCCAAAAAUGUUCAUAUUAACCAACUUGGUUAUUUUUCUAGAAAUGAUUUGUGUGUAAUAAUAUGAUUUAUACUUGUUUCAUACAACCUAAUGUAAAUCUCGGUUUUAAGGACUUUUUGACUAGAUCCAACACCACAAUCACAUAAGAACAUAUAUAUAAACAUAGAAAUCACACAAGGCAUACAUAUACUCAUAGAUCUACACAUUUGCUUGUACCCCCCCCACAAAACUUAUAAAAACCGAAAAAUAGGGGGUAUGAAGCUCACCUUGAGGUUUGGUUCGAUUUUGAUGAAGAGAUAUGAGAAGAUGAUGUUGUUUUUGGCCUAGCUUACUUCCUUCAAAAGAUCUUGAAGAUGUGGAUGGUUCUAAGAACAUAAUCCACAAAUAUAUGGAUGUAAGAGGAGAUAUUUGAAGAGAUCAAGAAAUUAUAUCAUAGAUCUAAGUGGGAACUUACCAAAGUUGAUGAUCUUGAAUAAGAAUUUCUUGAAGUAUCCUCUAAUUCUCGAAAAUUUAGAGGAGAGUGUAGGAGUGUUCUUGUGAGCUUUCCUUAAGAGAUUUGUAAGUAAAAUAAGUGUGUUGGUGAUUUUUGGGCCCUAUGGCCGAGAUUAAGAAGGAGAGAGGGGAAAAGAGAAGAGAGGUUUGAAGUGAUAGAAGUCUUGAUGCAUGAGAUUAGUUUUUGCAUGGAGGGUAUUUAGCAUGGGAACCCUACAUGUAAAAAUGAUGUGUCACCAUGCAAUUUACCCUCUUUUUUUACCUUGGGCCGAAAAUGGGUCUAAUGGGAUGAAGAAAAAUGGUUUUGGGAUCAAUUUCUUGGCUUUAAUCGAACUUCAUAGCCCCAAUAUUAUUUUUCGGCCCAUUGUGCUUAAGGACGAUUCACGACCCCUUUUGAAUAAAAGAAAUGGAGUUUAUAGCCCAACAAGGACUAUUAGAGAUAAAAAUGAAUUAUUUUAGGCCCACAUGGCCCAAAACAAUCUAGUUUCAUGAUUGUGGGUCCAAGUAGAGCCCAAAUAGUCGAUUUGAAAGUUUAUUGGUCCAUUAGGCCCAAUAAGAGAAUCCUAGUCCAUAAUGAAUUUGAGCCGGAAUUUCUAGGGUUUCCAACCCUUAGUUGAACAUAUGAGAUGUAUUUGAAUGAGAAUAGAGUAUAGUAAGUAUAGCCUUUUUCAAUGGAUGAGGUUUACAUGGGAAUAGAAUUUCCUAGCACAAUGCCAGUUGUGACAUCAUCCCCCCGUUAGAGGGAAUUUCGUCCUGAAAUUCUUUUGAAAGAUAGGUUCAUUAAUGAAAGAAUAGGUGGGGGUACUUCUGCUUAAUCUAGCCUUCGUGUUCACUUGUGAAUUCCGAUCUACAUUUCGCGUUCCAUUGAACCUUCACAAUCGGAAUGAGGCUUUGUUUUGUAUGCUUUAGCUUUCUAUCCAAUGCCUCGACUAGUUCUUAUAAGAACAGGAGAUUCUUGUUUAUUUCGAUCCCUUAUAAAGGAAUGAUAAGAGUUUUGCCUGAUAAACACUUUAUCAGAUUUAAUAUGCUGAACAUAGGGUGUACGUUGCUGAGCUCUACAGGCAGCUGCAGCCUAUAAGUCUUUGGACCAAUCUGAGCAAGAAACUCGAACAGUCCGAUGUAUCGUGGGUUUAGUUUUCGUUUCCUAAAGCGAAUCAUUCCUUUCCAGGGGGAUUCCUUUAAUAACACGCGAUCCCUCACUUGACAUCCUAAUGGCUUACGCCGCUUGUUAGAAUAGCUCUUCUGUCGGUCUCGCGAUGCUUGAAGUCAAGCUUUGAUUUGGGUCAUUUUCUCUGUUGUUUCGCAAAUGGUUUCUGGUCUCAUGAGAGUACUGGCGAGUGAUCUACAUUUAUGACUAUAAAUAGUUUUCGAAAGGAGCAAUCUUGAUGCUUGUGCGAUAGCUGUUUUGGUAUGAGAAGUCAAUCAAGGGAAACUGGGUAUCUCCUGACUUGUUGAACUCAAACACCCAAACUUGUCGCAUGAAUUCGAGUGGUUGAAUGGUUCGUUUGCUUUGGCUAGUGGUUUGAGGGUGGUAAGCAAUGCUCAUACUUAAUUAUGUUCCCAUAGCCUUCUGAAAUGACUGUCAAAGUCUUGAAGUAAUCUCGUUACCUCGAUUCGAGAUAAUAGAUACUGAUAUUUCAUGGAGUCUCAUGAUCUCUUUGAUAUAGAUCCAUGUAAAUCUUUUCGUCUUGUUUGAUUUCAGUAUUAGCAGGAAAUGGGCGGAUUGUGUUAACCUAUAGACGAUCACCCAGAUAACACCCCACUCAACUCUUAUAACAAUAAGCUUUGUCUUUUGACUUCGAGAGUUUUAUCCAUCCAUGCAACGAUUUCUUCGCAAUAUUCUCUGACUUUGAUGCUUUCAAGGCUGGUCGUAGAUGUUGACAGUGUUUUGUUCUUGCUUCGUGAGUAGAUGACUAUGUUAUUGAUGAAAAUAAUGAAAAGGCUGACUAGGAGUGGUUGAGAAAACUUUGUUCGUAGGGUCCAUGAACAGCAUGGGAGAAUUCGUUAGACCGGAGGGUAUCACAAUGGAUUUGAAAUGGUCGUGACGAGUUCGGGAGGCAGUUUUUGGAAUGUCGUAUUCUCGGACUCGAAGUUGAUGAUAACCGGUUCUUAGAUCUAUUUUAAAGAAGUAACUAGCUCCUUGGAGCUGGCCAAAUAGAUCGUCAGUCCGAGGAAGUGGGUAUUGAUUUUUGAUAGGGAGGUUAUUCAAUUCCCGAAAAUCGAUGUACCUUCUGAAGAAUCUGUCUUCUUGAAGAACAAGAUCGGAGCUCUUCGGGAUGAGAAGCUUGGUCUGAUGAGUCCUUUGCGCAACAAUUCUUCUCAAUUGACUGGGUAACUCGUGAAUUUUUCGGCGAGAGUAAUCCUAUAGGGUGAAUUGGCAAUUGAUGUAGUUCCCAGUAUGAGGUCGAUUUGACAUUCGACCUGUCUUUCUGGAGGUAUUCCCGGAAGUUCUUCAGGAAAUACAUCCAGAAAAUCACAUGCUAAUGGAAUACCUUGUAUGCUUACUUCAUCCUUGGUCUUGUCCACAACAAGAGUGAGGAAAACAUAGUUUUUCUGGUGCAGGCACUUCUGUGCCUUAAUGCACGAGAUAGGAAGAGAAUUGGCGGCAGGUUUGUCACCAUGGAUUAUUAGAGUUUCGUGAUUGGGAAGGUGAAGGAAAACGGCCUUCUCGCGACACAUAGUAUCAGGACGGUGGGGGCUUAACCCAACCAUGACGAUUAUCACGUCAAAACUCCUAAUAUUUACUAGCAUCAAGUCUAUUGAAAUGAAUGAUUGUUUAGUGUUAAGAUGUUCCCUACAUAAAUAUAUUUGGUUGCUUCGGUUUUCCCAUUAAUCAUCUCCACCGUUAAGGAUUAGUUUAGCCUCUAGGAUUGUUGUUUUAGUAAGGCUCGACUUUGUUACUAACGAAGCUUCGCUCAGCUUCACUAUUGAAUAAGAGGUAAGCGAAAGAGUUGUUAAGUGGGAACAUACCAGUAACAACUGUCGGGUCUUGAUCUGCUUUGCCUUAACCCAAGGUCAGGAUCAUUUCUGAUCCUUCUGCUCCUUGAUUGUUAUCCUUGGGGCAAUUGCGCCUGAAGUGACCAAUUCCUCCACACCCAUAGCAGGUGUGAAUGGUCUCAUCAUUGGUGUUGUUGUUAGGGUUGUUGCGAUUGUUUUCAUUUUCAUUUGGCUGACGAUUCUGGCAUGGAUAAGUUCUACAGAAUUUGGCAGUGUGAUUCUUUCGGUUUCAUUUGUUACAAUGCGUCUCCCGGCAGGCUCCAUUAUGAUGGAAUUUGCACUGGUUGCAUUUUGGAAGGAUUCCAACAUAUGGUCUCCUGGUUGUUGGUGUAAUAGAGGUCAUGGUCGCAUGAACAACAACAACAUGUUGCUUCCUUGAGAACCCUUGAGUGGGAUGUCCCUUUCUCUUACUUCCAGACCUCAGCUUCCUGCUCUUAAACUUGGGGUUUUGGGGUUCCUUGAUAAGUUUUCACUUGUUGGUUUCCAUGUUUAUCCCUUUGGCUGGAGUUGUCAAUGCUAUUCCCGCCUCCAUUAGGCUUGUUUGCAUUGAUUUGUGUCAUAGCAGCGGUUACUGCCGCCAUUACAGCAGCUUGGAAUGUAGCAGAGUCCAUCUGCAGGAGCGGUGUCUCGCGGGUGCGCUUGUUAUUCUUGCGGGAUGGCAUUUUCCUAAUGCACGUUGAUAAUCCAGAUCGUAAGUAAUGAUCGUCAUUCCUGGUUGUACUCUAUAAAUUUUGCAUCUUGUUGUAUAAUUCUUACUGCUUCCAUCUACAUCCCUAUGAUGUAUUUGUGGUAGUAGGUAAUCAUAGAUUUGACACGAUCGUUACGUCUACCCUCAGAGGAUAUGGACUGUUUCGGUUUCGAGAUCCUUAAGUACCAUCUUAGUACACGAAGGAGAGUCAUAUCGGAUAGUAGGGAGAGUGGAAAAGAUUGAUCCUAAUUGUGGCGGGAAGUGUCGGGUGGUGGUGCUGAUGAAAUUGAUGCACCUCAGAGACGAGCUACUUGUUGUUCGGUAUCUCGUAGUCUUACUUCUCACACUAACUGUCUUGCUCUAGAGUCUCCAUUCACUUCCUGUGUUUUCCUCUCAUCUCUCUCAAUAGCAAACCACAUUUGUUUUGUUCGAUUUGGGGUGUCCCGAGCUUGGUUAUCAAUACCUCGGGUGCGCUGGACCAUGACCGAGAGGGCCCGGUCAGCUGGUCCUCUAUGACUAAGAUCGAAGAGACCUCGGUUCCUACCAUAGCGUGGUCGUAUCCCUUGCUGGUGACUCUAUCUCCAAAUAUCGUGUGCCCGAGGGGGCAUGGGGCCACCGGGGCCCACACGAUGUGUCAGUACUCUGGCUUUACAUGGAGGAUUGAUGUCAUCGGAUUCUCAUCCGAGUCAUCAUCAUCAUUGCCCUCUGGCUCUUCCCCUUCAAGGUCCACUUAUUUACUCAGCGGGUUCACCUGUGAGUUCCACUUCGUGUUCCUCCUGUGGUUCUUUCUCUGAGUCAAGCCACCCGAUUAUUCCUUGACUAGGGAGGUAGGGUUUCCUGGCUAAUGAUACUCGUCUGUAGCGUAUUGCACGAAGGGCUAUGAAUACUAGAAACAACUAGCAUACCAAUUACUCCUAUAACUCUACGUCUAUUGCAUAGAUUUAGCUGAGGUUCCCUUCUUGGAGAUUAAGGGAUAUGUUUUUAGGUUCCCUAGCUAUCACGAUUUCUUCAAGGCAUGUGAUGNGUUAGUUGUACCUUGGAGGAAAUGUAUUUGAUCAGGCUACAUCCGCUUAUUGAUACUACUAAGAACAAUCCUGAGUUAACCGGGAUACUAGCGUUAUCUUGUUUGGUUCGGCGUUAUGUUCUUAUUCCUAAUGCAAGCAAGGGUGUUUUAUUGUUAUGUUUUACUUGUUUUGUUCAGAGUUGUGUUAGUCCCUCUUUUGGUUUAUAGUUGCAUAUCAAUGUGUGGCUAGAUAUGCUAGUUCACUAUAAACAGAGCUCUGAUACCAACCUGUCACACCCCCGAACCAGACGGCGGAAACGUCCGAGGGCUGUUGUGACUCAAUUGAAUACCAUCACAGUGAAUAUACAUGAAACAUAACAUCAUUCAUCACCAUGCAUUGAAAUAAUACAACUGGUAGUGUUUACAUUUAGUACAUUGUUUCAUAACAUUACAUUCCUAAAAACUAGAUUGUUCGAUACUAGUUAAACAAACAACAAGACAUCACUGAGUACAUUUUUCCCUUCGAUUUACCUGUUACCUGAGAAUACAAGUAUUUUGAAAAACGUCAACAUAUGAAAUGUUGGUGAGUUCAUAAGUAAUGUUUGAAAUAUAAUGUUUUGUAUUGUUUUGAAAACCACCAGAAAAUCCGAUAUUUUCUGAAAAGAGUAUCGUGUAAAAAGUGUGAAGAUCCGUAAGUAUGCUUGUUUGUUUCUAUAAAUGUAAAAAAAAUUGUUAGACUUGGUAUGCAUCUUGUAGGUGUAUGAAUUGAAAACCCUAGGAAAACCCGAUGUUUUCCUAAUACUUUGAAUUACGCGUUUUAUAUUUUGUUAUACCGUUGUGACGUGUGUAUUCGAUAAUUCCAGGUGACAUUGGAUUAAUUAUGGAUUGUGAAUUGUUAUAAACACGCAUUAAUGAAAACGACUAGUUUACAACUAUACAAACGAUCCCUUAGGCGUCGUCCGUACUAUUCACUUAAUCCAACCACCCUAACUUCUCAUAGCCCCACAACCGAGGAGAAAAGAGGGUGCGAAGCCCCCGCUAUUUCCAUAAGUCGUUCAAGGCUAUCGUGAAUGCGAAAGGCCCUUGGCCCGACUCGCAUUGGUGAAUUCUCGACUUUGCUAGCAGUACCAAAAGACCCUUGGGGCCCAACAGCACAAAAGCCAUUGAAAGUCCUUUUACAUGGAAUUAGGUCAUAUAAGACCCAACAACAUGUAAGCGAGUUUCCUUCGGGCCUAAAGAUCAUGUCAUUGGGCUAGCUAGGCCCAACAAGCACGAUUUGAAACUUUCGGGCCCAAAGAUGGUGUAUCGACGU
rnacentral:lncRNA from 1 species